GACGAACGCUGGCGGCGUGCUUAACACAUGCAAGUCGAACGGACAGGCCCGGCUUUUGUGGCGUGCUCGAGUGGCGAACGCGUGAGUAACACGUGAGUAAACUGCCCUUGACUUUGGGAUAACUUCAGGAGACUGGGGCGAAUACCGGGUAUGAGCUCCUGCUGCAUGUUGGGGAAUAGUGAGAUUCGGCGGUUGGGGAUGGACUCGCGGCUUAUGCGCUUGUUUGUGGGGUAGUGGCUUACCAAGGCUUUGACGGGUAGCCGGCCUGAGAGGCGGACCGGCGACAUGGGGCCUGCGGUACGGCGCAGAAUGCUACGGGAGGCAGCAGGGGAGAAUAUUGCAGAAUGGGGCGAAGCGUGAUGCAGCAGUGCCGCGUGCGGGAUGCCGGCCUUUGGGUUGUAAACCAAUGUGGCCUGUAACGAAGCGUGAUUGACGGUAAUGGGUAAGGAAGCACCGGCUAACUACGUG
rnacentral:rRNA from 1 species